AUGUAUACAUCACUGAUGACAUUCAGGAAGUUAUCUCCAAAAUUUGUCCUACAGAGUUUGGCUCAGCAAACCGUACAGCGAAAAGAGAGUAGAGAAGAACCUUUUAGGACAGAUACCCUAUUUUGUUGUGUUGAACAGCACCUAAUGCAGUUCGAUUACACUGUAUUUUCUGGGCCUUCUGGGUGCCAUGGUAAAGUAAAUAAUAAAUAAUAAUGAGUGUUUGACUAACAUUAGAAUUAGGAUCCAUGUAUUGUUUUCAUAUGUACAGCAUGAUAAUUUAUCAAUGCAUUAUUCAAGACUUUUUUGGUAACUUGAAUGGAGAUGUGUCAGCUUAUUCCUGCUGAUUUUUUUUUUUUUCCUGGCUUGGUUAGGUCCUGUGUAUUUGCCCUGGGACACAUGACCAAAAUCAUUUCACAGCUUUAGGAUAUGGACACUUGGCCACUGAAAGUUUUCUCCCCCAACACAUGGAUAUCUAGUUGCAAACAAGAACACUCUCUUUCUGGAUGAAGAAUCCUCUAAAAAUUGAUUCUAGCUCACUUGCCAGAGAUUGAAAAAAAAAAAAAAAAGAAAAGAAAGGUAAGCAAUGUGAAAAAAUCCAGAGUAC
rnacentral:lncRNA from 1 species